CCUACGGGUGGCAGCAGUGGGGAAUAUUGGGCAAUGGGCGCAAGCCUGACCCAGCAAUGCCGCGUGAAGGAAGAAGGCUUUCGGGUUGUAAACUUCUUUGACAGGGGAAGAGAAGAAGACGGUACCCUGAAAACAAGCCACGGCUAACUACGUUCCAGCAGCCGCGGUAAUACGUAGGUGGCAAGCGUAGACCGGGUUUACUGGGUGUAAAGGGAGGGUAGCCGGGCAGGCAAGUCAGAUGUGAAAUCUGGAGGCUCAACCUCCAAAUUGAAUUUGAAACUGUUUUUCUUGAGUACUGGGGAGGCAGACGGAAUUCCUUGUGUAGCGGUGAAAUGCGUAGAUAUAAGGAGGAACACCAGUGGCGAAGGCGGUCUGCUGGACAGCAACUGACGGUGAGGCGCGAAAGCGUGGGGAGCAAACAGGAUUAGAUACCCUUGUAGUC
rnacentral:rRNA from 1 species